CAGUCGCCACGGUAAUACGUAGGGUGCGAGCGUUAAUCGGAAUUACUGGGCGUAAAGCGUGCGCAGGCGGUUCGUUAAGUCUGUUGUGAAAGCCCCGGGCUCAACCUGGGAAUGGCAAUGGAUACUGGCGAGCUAGAGUGUGUCAGAGGAUGGUGGAAUUCCCAGUGUAGAGGUGAAAUUCGUAGAUAUUGGGAAGAACACCAGUGGCGAAGGCGGCUCACUGGACCGACACUGACGCUGAGGCGCGAAAGCGUGGGGAACAAACAGGAUUAGAUACCCCAGUAGUCCCUGUCUCUUAUAC
rnacentral:rRNA from 1 species